rnacentral:sRNA from 1 species
GCCGGGCGUGGUGGCGGGCGCCUGUAGUCCCAGCCACUUGGGAGGCUGAGGCAGGAGAAUGGCGUGAACCUGGGAGGCGGAGGUUGCAUUGAGCCGAGACCGCACCACUGCACUCCAGCCUGGGCGACAGAGCAAGACUCCGUCUCAAAAAAAAAAAACAACAAAAAAAAACAGAAAUGGAGUCUCGCUGUGUUGCCCUGGCUGGAGUGCAGUGUCAUAAUCUCGGCUCACUGCAACCUCUGCCUGCCGGGUUCAAUUGAUUCUCCUUCCUCA